UACGUAGGGUGCAAGCGUUGUCCGGAAUUAUUGGGCGUAAAGAGCUCGUAGGCGGCCUGUUGCGUCGGCUGUGAAAACCCGGGGCUCAACCCCGGGCCUGCAGUCGAUACGGGCAGGCUAGAGUCCGGCAGGGGAGACUGGAAUUCCUGGUGUAGCGGUGAAAUGCGCAGAUAUCUGGAGGAACACCGGUGGCGAAGGCGGCAUCCUGGACCGAGAUUGACGCUGAGGCGCGAAAGCCAGGGGAGCAAACGGG
rnacentral:rRNA from 1 species